AAGUCGUAACAAGGUUUCCGUAGGUGAACCUGCGGAAGGAUCAUUAACGAAUUUCUAGGGGUUGUGCUGGUUCUUACAAGUGCACGCCUCUUAAUUCUAUUCACACCCACUGUGCACUUUAAGAGACGUAUUUCCCCCGUUUACGUGCCUUUAUUGGCUUGGGAUUUCGUCUGUUUCAUACACACUAUUCGUAUCAGAAUGUAACUUAGCGGAAACGCUUUAAACGUAAUAUAACUUUCAACAACGGAUCUCUUGGUUCUC
rnacentral:misc_RNA from 1 species